rnacentral:rRNA from 1 species
CAGUCGCCGCGGUAAUACGUAGGGCGCAAGCGUUAAUCGGAAUUACUGGGCGUAAAGCGAGCGCAGACGGUUACUUAAGCAGGAUGUGAAAUCCCCGGGCUUAACCUGGGAACUGCGUUCUGAACUGGGUAGCUAGAGUAUGUCAGAGGGGGGUAGAAUUCCACGUGUAGCAGUGAAAUGCGUAGAGAUGUGGAGGAAUACCGAUGGCGAAGGCAGCCCCCUGGGAUAACACUGACGCUCAUGCACGAAAGCUAGGGGAGCAAAUGGGAUUAGAUACCCCCGUAGUCCCUGUCUCUUAUAC